UACGAAGGGGGCUAGCGUUGUUCGGAUUUACUGGGCGUAAAGCGCACGUAGGCGGAUUGUUAAGUCGGGGGUGAAAUCCUGGAGCUCAACUUCAGAAUUGCCUUCGAUACUGGCUUUCUAGAGGCUGGAAGAGGUUAGUGGAAUUCCCAGUGUAGAGGUGAAAUUCGUAGAUAUUGGGAAGAACACCAGUGGCGAAGGCGGC
rnacentral:rRNA from 1 species